UACGAAGGGGGCUAGCGUUGCUCGGAAUCACUGGGCGUAAACGCACGUAGGCGGAUUGUUAAGUCAGGGGUGAAAUCCUGGAGCUCAACUCCAGAACUGCCUUUGAUACUGGCGAUCUCGAGUCCGGGAGAGGUGAGUGGAACUGCGAGUGUAGAGGUGAAAUUCGUAGAUAUUCGCAAGAACACCAGUGGCGAAGGCGGCUCACUGGCCCGGUACUGACGCUGAGGUGCGAAAGCGUGGGAGCAACAGG
rnacentral:rRNA from 1 species